UCCAGUUAAACGGCCGCGGUAUCCUGACCGUGCAAAGGUAGCAUAAUCAUUUGUUCUCUAAAUAGGGACUUGUAUGAAUGGCCCCACGAGGGUUUAACUGUCUCUUACUUUUAAUCAGUGAAAUUGACGCUCCCGUGAAGAGGCGGGAAUUAAAAAAUAAGACGAGAAGACCCUAUGGAGCUUCAAUUAACUAACUCAUAAGUUAUAGCACUAAUCUAUAAGAAAUAAAUUAAACUUAAUUAAGUUAGCAAUUUAGGUUGGGGUGACCUCGGAAUAAAAACUAACUUCCGAGACAAACUUACUAAGGCCCACAAGCCGAAGUUAUCUCAUUAUACAUUGAUCCGCCAAUGGCGAUCAACGAAAUAAGUUACCCUAGGGAUAACAGCGCAAUCCUAUUUAAGAGUCCAUAUCGACAAUUAGGGUUUACGACCUCGAUGUUGGAUCAGGACAUCCCAAUGGUGCAGCAGCUAUUAAUGUGUUCGUUUGUUCAACGAUUAAAGUCCUA
rnacentral:rRNA from 1 species